rnacentral:rRNA from 1 species
GUCCACGCCCUAAACGAUGGACACUAAGUGUCGGCGGGUUACCGCCGGUGCCGCAGCUAACGCAGUAAGUGUCCCGCCUGGGGAGUACGGCCGCAAGGUUGAAACUCAAAGGAAUUGACGGGGCCGCACAAGCGGUGGAGCAUGUGGUUCAAUUCGACGCAACGCGAAGAACCUUACCCAGGUUGGACAAGCAGGUAGUAAAAACCUAGAAGGGCGAAUGAGCCCGCAAGGGCAUCCUGCUCAGGUGCUGCAUGGCUGUCGU